rnacentral:rRNA from 1 species
CCUACGGGAGGCAGCAGUGAGGAAUAUUGGUCAAUGGGCUUACGCCUGAACCAGCCAAGUCGCGUGAGGGAAGACUGCCCUAUGGGUUGUAAACCUCUUUUGUCAGGGAGCAAUUGGCGCUACGUGUAGCGUUAUCGAGAGUACCUGAAGAAACAGCAUCGGCUAACUCCGUGCCAGCAGCCGCGGUAAUACGUAGGAUGCGAGCGUUAUCCGGAUUUAUUUGGUUAAAAGGGUGCGUAGGCGGAAUGCAAUGUCAGCGGUAAAGUCGCGGGGCUCAACCGCGCUCCGCCGUUGAAACUGGCGUUCUUGAGUGGGCGAGAGGUAUGCGGAAUGCGAGGUGUAGCGGUGAAAUGCAUAGAUAUCACGCAGAACUCCGAUUGCGAAGGCAGCAUACCGGCGCCCAACUGACGCUGAAGCACGAAAGCGUGGGUAUCGAACAGGAUUAGAUACCCGGGUAGUC